UAAUAAUGAAUUCAUAAUGAAAAGGAAAUUACAAAAAAAAAAAAAACUAAAAGGUCAACUUUUUCUUGUAACAUGGUAGGAUAACAUUAUGGAUUCAAGUAGUGUAUUGACUAUUUUAUCCCUCGAUGUAUUAAAAACUUGGUUUUUUAAUUCAAUAUUUGAUGGUAUUUUAAGUUUUGAAUCUAAGUGUUUUGGUUUUAAAUUUUUAUUAUUGGC
rnacentral:lncRNA from 1 species